AUUGAACGCUGGCGGCAUGCCUUACACAUGCAAGUCGAACGGCAGCACGGGAGCAAUCCUGGUGGCGAGUGGCGAACGGGUGAGUAAUAUAUCGGAACGUGCCCAGUCGUGGGGGAUAACGUAGCGAAAGCUACGCUAAUACCGCAUACGAUCUAUGGAUGAAAGCGGGGGAUCGCAAGACCUCGCGCGAUUGGAGCGGCCGAUAUCAGAUUAGGUAGUUGGUGGGGUAAAAGCCUACCAAGCCUUCGAUCUGUAGCUGGUCUGAGAGGACGACCAGCCACACUGGAACUGAGACACGGUCCAGACUCCUACGGGAGGCAGCAGUGGGGAAUUUUGGACAAUGGGCGCAAGCCUGAUCCAGCAAUGCCGCGUGCAGGAUGAAGGCCUC
rnacentral:rRNA from 1 species